rnacentral:sRNA from 1 species
CGUUCCGGAUCCUCCGGCUCCGGGAGCCCGAGGGAAAGACCGGACUGGGCAAGGGGCGACACGUGGGCGGUCGCACCGGGUCUGCGCGGUGGGGGAGGGGGCUGCGCGCCGGGAGUCCCGGACACGCAGCGGAGCGCGGGUCGCGUCGCGUACUUAGUCCCGGGAUUCCCGGCUCUACGCGGGAGACACCGAGUUUCCAGCGGCGAGGGCUGGGUCGACGCCAGGGGGUGGUGGAGAGCGUGGCACGGAGGCCCCGGAGAAGCCCCCUGCCUGGCCAUCGCGGAGAAGGGGCCAGCGACAGCACCCCUAGAAAGAGGGAUGUUCCUUGAGCCGCGCGAGUCUGCGGGUGGGAGGAGGGUUGUCCAGACACGCGUUCUUAGAGGGCAGAGUCUGUAAACCAACUCCGAUUGCGGCUCACCGCCCAUCUACUGGAUGAUUUCCUACCAUUCAAAAAGUCGGGAGUUAAAACAACACCCAGCACCUUUGUCCCCUCCUCGUUUUCCCGGAGCACCGGGAAAAAAAUGAAGCGGGGGAGAGCUUCCAACUCGGUUUCUGUGUCUCCCUCCACCACCUUCAGAACCCACUCUCUCGAAUCAGCGUUUUGUUCUAGCCAGCCACGUGUUUGUCGGGUUUUUUGUUUUUAUGACAUUUUUCUUCCCAUAAAGCAACAGGAAUAUUACAAGCUAUUAGUUGCUUAGUAGUAAAAAAAAAAUUAUUAUUCUAUCCAGGAAGGUGGAAGAUGUCUGCGUCUCUGUCCCCACGCACCCUCCCCAUUCCCCCAGCCCCCCACUAACUUGGUGUUCUAUCAGCUCUUGAUCACAGUGUAAUUCUUAAUAAACUAAGCCAA